rnacentral:rRNA from 1 species
UUAGUGGCGGACGGGUGAGUAACGCGUGGAAAACCUGCCGUAUACUGGGGGAUAACACUUAGAAAUAGGUGCUAAUACCGCAUAAGCGCACAGCUUCGCAUGAAGCGGUGUGAAAAACUCUGGUGGUAUACGAUGGUUCCGCGUCUGAUUAGCUAGUUGGUGGGGUAAUGGCCUACCAAGGCAACGAUCAGUAGCCGGCCUGAGAGGGUGAACGGCCACAUUGGGACCGAGACACGGCCCAAACUCCUACGGAAGGCAGCAG